rnacentral:lncRNA from 1 species
GUAUUAUUUGUGGUUUGGAAAUCUCAUAGAUCGAAAACCCUGCCGCACUCCAUUCUUCCCUUCUCUCGAUCAGCUUUCCCUUCGAAGUUUACGUGUACGAAUCUUGUUGAUUGUUCCAUAUUCGAUCAGUAUAACCUAUCCUCUGACAUAUGUUACUGAUAUGGUUGAUCAACGUGAAACAAAGUGAUAAAACAUACCGAGCAAAUCCCAGGUGAGUUCACUGCACUUUUCUCAAGCAUGCGUCCCGGUGGUUUGGGACAACUGGUAAACAUUUGGAAGGGAAACAUUGGGUAAAUAACUUAAUCGGUUUUGGUCAUUGCCUGGAGGGCAAUGGGGGUGAUUAGUUGAUAGCGCUAUUAGGUGGGAAACCUCACACCGGGCCGUAAGGACGGGCGUGAACUAAUUAUCUGAGCAUGGCUAUGGUUGUUAGAGGCACACUCCUCGGAUACAUAUGGGCACUCUCCCUAGGGUAUCUAACGAAGGCAACAUAGCAAACGGUCGUUAAGGGGUACCCACUCCCCGGAUACUUAUGGGCACACUCCCUAGGGUAUCUAACAUGAGCAACAUCGAAACGUCAAACAUCUUAACAACAAACAACAUAUCGUUUUGUAAACUGUUUUACUCACAUGACUGGUAACGCAACUUGGUAAACAAACACAAACCUUGAACUCACCAGCGUAGUCUGACACACUUGUUUACAUGCUUGUAGGUAAUUACUGGAGGAACUUGGGAACUUGCUGUCUGAUGCUGCUGGAGUGGUUGUGGUCAUGAUAUACAUUUAUACUUUUAUGCUUCCGCUCAUUACUUUGGUUAUGGUUUAACUUUCAAACGAUACAUUUCUUUCAAUUGGGUAUUUUAAUACAUUAUGACUUGUGUUU